rnacentral:lncRNA from 1 species
UGGUGGAUAGCAAUGACAGAGAUCGAGUUGUCGAGGCCAGGGAUGAGUUGCACAGGAUGCUGAAUGAGGUAUCUUACUUUUUAGUAAAAUCUAUCUGUGUAUAACAUUCAUAGUCAUCAGACAAGAACUGAUGUUCAGGCCAGCCAAGAGGCCAGGAGCAUUAGUUAAUCUGUCAGUCACUCCAUUGAACUAUGGCAGUAUGAAGUAUUUAUCUUUUAGAAAGCAAAUAAUUGCCGAGACAGAAUUUUGAUUUGAAAAAUUGCACCUCAAAUACCAUUUGAGGUGCUUGUUGCUUUCUGAAAUAAUCUUUGAAUUAGUAAUUUCAAUUAACUUUUAAAUAUUAUUGUCAUUUUGGAAGGCAAUAUAGCUAGCUGGAAAGGCUUGUCUGGGAGAGGUUUGCUAUAACUGUUUGCUCUCUCAAAAUAGGUUACAGUAGCAAUUUUAUGGUUAGGGUCCAUCUUAAUUUUCUUGUUAGCAUGGUAGCACCUUAUGAAACAUGUUAUGUUGCAUGAUAUGCUGUUGAUGAAUAUUGGGGUAUAUUGGAUGAAGGAAUUAAAUUGAAGCAAGAGCAAAUGGCAUUUUUGCAGCAUCACUUAAGCAUGUUACUGGAUGGUAUUCUGUUGAGUCGUAUUGAUUUUUCUACAACGAAGUAAUGAAGGGGACAUGAAUUAUAACCAUUAGUAAUAAUAAUAAUGCUGGUUAAUUUAAUCUGGCCAAAAACAAGUGGCAGAUGCCUUAUGAUGUGCAUAUUGGGGUUUGUGCAUAGAUUGUAGUUUAGCUAAAAGAUGGCCAAGAGGAUUUGGCCAAUGAAAUCUUUGACCAGUCCAUGAUGUUGUGCUGGCUGCAUAAGCAGGUGCUAGACAGCAAUUUGUUUGUGUUAUUACUUGUUAAGAAGAGCAUGGAACUAGGAACGGCUUUUUGUGGCAUCAUUUACUUGCAAUACACUAUUUCUAAAGCUAUUUUUUUUUUUUGCAUGGCUGCCAUUUUUUUCAUGUCUUUGUUAGUGGGAGGAGGCAACAGAAACAUUUAUUUGACCAUUCCAGUUUUCAGUUACAUAUCGAAAACUUAAAAUAAAGUGGGAACCAAAAGAAUAAUGUUAAAUGAUUUCUGAUUUCAGGAUGAGCUCCGUGAGGCUGUGCUGCUUGUAUUUGCUAACAAACAAGAUCUCCCUAAUGCUAUGAAUGCUGCCGAGAUAACUGAUAAGCUUGGCCUCCACUCUCUCCGGCAGCGUCACUGGUAAAUUUUCUGGCUGUACUGCCAUCUAAUAGUUUAUUUUAUAGUCUCUAUCUUGUCUUAAAAGUCCUACUGCUAUCCGGUUUCUAAUUUUGCUUAUAUGGUCUUUCCAGGUACAUCCAGAGCACCUGUGCAACCUCUGGUGAAGGGCUUUACGAGGGAUUGGAUUGGCUCUCCAACAAUAUUGCUAACAAGGUAUGAAUUCAAAAAUUCUUUCCGUCCUAUAAACAAAGUUUUAGGGCCAGAAUAUGAGACUUCAAUUUGACCAUCUAAUUAUUGGACUCUUCCAUCAUUAAUUACUGUCCGCAACCUUUUGAUGCUCAAGUUCACUUAGAUUGAACCAACUAUCAGUGCUAUUUCCAAGAGAGAACUUUAUAAAGAUGAACCUUGAGGUGGUGACUUAUGUUUCUAUUAUUUUC